rnacentral:sRNA from 1 species
AUCGUUGUUGAAUUGUUGAGUUGUUGAAUUGUUGAGUUGUUUGCUGAAAACCGAAAACUGAAUGACCAUUGACAAUUGGGGAAAAAGCCCUGAAAGGGCGCGUUAAUUCAGCCCAAUGCGCAGCGUUGGGAGAAAAAAGCAACCCCACGUCGGAGGGCUGUAAGCCUGAAUUAAUGUUGGUGUAAUUGUUGAAUUGUUGAAUUGUUUGCUGAAAACCGAAAACUAAAAAAAUGAAACAGGGAAUAAUCAUUGCGCUUCGUUCGUUGACCAAACACGGACGGAACAACGGAAUUAAGAUUAUCUCGCUGGCCGCAGGGCUUGCGAUGGGAUUGGUGCUGAUUGCCAAAGUCUGCUUUGAGCAGUCGUACGAUGCGUUCUAUCCCGAUUCGGAACGUAUUUACCGGCUGAACCAGAAAAUCAUUCAGAAUAAUGAGCUGAAAGAAUAUCCCCAAGUGAGCGGCGGCGUGGCCGUCGGGAUGAGGGAAGAGGUGCCCGGUGUGGAAACGGCUACGCGAUGCACCGGAAUUUACGACGGCGAAGCGUAUACCGACGAUGGAAAAGGAUAUACGAUAUCCGUGAUUGCCGCCGACGAAUACUUCUUCGAUGUGUUUCCUCGCAAGAUAUUGCAGGGAGAUGCGAAAGCCGUCUUAUCGAAGAAAGGCGCGGUGUUGAUCUCGGAAGAGCUGGCCCGGAAGAUCGGGGGCGACGUCAUGGGAAAAACACUCUGCCUCGGAAGCAAGAAUAAGAAUAAAAUCCCCGUCGGCGGCGUCUUUGAAACCGUCCCGGAGAAUGCUCAUCAGCGUUACGAUGCAGUCAUAACCCUUCAGGUCAUGGUCUCACCCGAUUACGACGGCACCAUGAACUGGUUAGGGAAUGACCGUUAUCGCGGCUAUGUGAAGCUGUAUCCCGGUGUCGAGCCCGACAGCCUGGCCGAACCGAUGCGGGCGAUGCAGAGGAAAUAUCAGGAUUUUGAAGCCUUGAAAAAGGCCGGUGUCGAUCUGAGUUAUACGCUUACCCGGCUGACCGACCUGCACCGAAAAACACCUGAAGUGAAAUCGAUGACUUCGUUGCUGAUCAUGCUCGCUUUCGUACUGAUCUUCGCGGCGGUGAUGAACUACGUGUUAGUCGUUAUUUCGUCGUUUGUCAGCCGAACGAAGGAAGUAGCCGUACAUAAAUGUUACGGGGCAUCGGGCAGAAACAUCAGCGGGAUGAUCGUUUCCGAAACGUUUCUUCAUCUGUUGAUUUCGAUUGCGCUGGCGCUGUUGCUUAUCUUUGCGUUUCGCGGCACGGUAGAGGAGUUGCUGGCCGCGUCGCUUCAGGCGCUUUUCUCGUCGCAGAGCAUUACGAUCCUUGUGGCCGUGUGUAUGGUCGUGUUUCUCGUGACGGGGCUGCUCCCCGGGCAUCUUUUCGCGCGUAUCCCCGUCGGGGCGGCUUUCCGGAAUUAUCGGGAAUCGCGCCGUUACUGGAAACUUGCGCUGCUGUUCGUACAAUUUAUCGGCGUAGGCUUCCUGUUCUCUUUCCUUGUGAUCAUUACUCUUCAGCAUAAACGCAUGACGAACGACAACCCCGGAUAUAACUGUGAGCAUCUCGCCUACUUCAAUAUGGCGGACACAGAUUCUACGCUGCGCUCCAAAAUCAUCGACGAGGUGGGACGCCUUCCCGAAGUGGCCGCCGUCACCACGUUUUCGGAGCUUCCUUUCGAAAAACAGUCCGGAAAUAACGUCUACCUUCCGGGCAAUGAUCGUGAAAUGUUUAAUAUUGCAGACCUCUACUGGGUGGGUAACCGUUAUCUGGAGACGAUGGAAAUCCCGGUUGUGGGAGGACGUUCGUUUACGGAAAACGUGCCGUCGUCGCGCGAAGUGAUGGUCAGCCGCCGGUUUGUGGAGAAAAUGAAGAACUUUGCCGACUGGAGCGACGGCGCCAUAGGCAAAGAAAUUCUGAUUACGGAACACAGUCAGGAUAUGAAACAGUCUUUUACCAUUUGCGGCGUAUACGAAGAUAUCCGCAUCAACAGCAUCGAGAACGAAGAUACGCGCCCUUCGGUGAUGUUUUAUGCUCCCGAUGUGCGAUGGACACGCAUGCUGCUGGUUAAGUUUCAUACCUUGACGCCGGAAGGCAUGACGCAUCUGCAGGAAACGAUACAGGCGUUGCUGCCCGAUCAGAAUGUGGCGAUCAACGACUGGCGCGCGGACAUGACGAAUUUAUACCGUUCUUCGCGACUGUUUCGCGAUUCGGUGAUGAUCGGAUGUAUCAUUACAUUAAUUAUUGCGUUGACCGGAUUGAUCGGAUAUACGCGAGAUGAGAUCAACCGUCGCCGGAAAGAAAUAGCGAUCCGUAAAAUCAACGGAGCGACUUUUAAAGAAGUCUUGUUGCUCUUCGAGCGUGACAUCAUUCGUAUAGCCGUUCCCGCAUUGAUCGGCGGCUGUGCUCUGGCGGCGUAUUCGGCCGCCGGAUGGCUUUCGGGUUUCUCCGAAAAAGUUUCGCUGGCAUGGUACCUGUUCGCGAUAUGCGGCUUGAUGAUGCUGGGAGUCAUCAUAACCGUGGUGGCAUUCCAUGUACGGAGUGCGGCGAACGAUAACCCCGUGAAAAGUUUGAGGAGUGAAUAGAUGAAAAGUGAAGAACGAAAAGUGAAAAGUGAAGAGUGAUGCCCUUCGGGCAUUGAGUUGUUGAAUUGUUGAGUUGUUUGCUGAUUACUGAACGCUGAAAACUAAAUGACCAUUGACAAUUUGAGAAAAAGCCCUGAAAGGGCGCGUUAAUUCAGCCCAAUGCGUAGCGUUGGGAGAAAAAGCAACCCCUCGUCAGAGGGCUGUAAGCCUGAAUUAAUAUUGGUGUAACUGUUGAGUUGUUUGCUGAUUACUGAAUACUGAUCGCUGACUGCUAAAAAAUAAAAAAU